rnacentral:rRNA from 1 species
AUUUAUAUAAACUUAGCGGCGGAUGGGUGAGUAACGCGUGAGAAAUCUACCAUGCACUAGGGGAUAGCCUCGGGAAACUGGGAAUAAUACCCUAUGACACUUACAUUUCACAUGAAAAGUAAGUUAAAGCUUUAGCGGUGCUUGAUGAUCUCGCGUCCCAUUAGUUAGUUGGUAAGGUAAUGGCUUACCAAGACUACGAUGGGUAGCCGGCCUGAGAGGGUGACCGGCCACACUGGAACUGAGACACGGUCCAGACUCCUACGGGAGGCAGCAGUGGGGAAUAUUGCACAAUGGAGGAAACUCUGAUGCAGCGACGUCGCGUGAACGAUGAAGGUCUUCGGAUCGUAAAGUUCUGUCCUAGGGGAAGAUAGUGACGGUACCUUAGGAGGAAGCCCCGGCUAACUACGUGCCAGCAGCCGCGGUAACACGUAGGGGGCGAGCGUUGUCCGGAAUUACUGGGUGUAAAGGGUGCGUAGGCGGCCUUGCAAGUCAGAUGUGAAAGAUCAUGGCUUAACUGUGGUAAGCAUUUGAAACUGUAAGGCUUGAGUGCAGGAGAGGAGAGUGGAAUUCCUAGUGUAGCGGUGAAAUGCGUAGAUAUUAGGAAGAAUAUCAGUGGCGAAGGCGGCUCUCUAGACUGCAACUGACGCUGAGGCACGAAAGCGUGGGGAGCAAACAGGAUUAGAUACCCUGGUAGUCCACGCUGUAAACGAUGAGUGCUAGGUGUCGGGGGUCAUACCUCGGUGCCGCAGUUAACGCAUUAAGCACUCCACCUGGGGAGUACGGCCGCAAGGCUGAAACUCAAAGGAAUUGACGGGGACCCGCACAAGCAGCGGAGCAUGUGGUUUAAUUCGACGCAACGCGAAGAACCUUACCAGGGCUUGACAUCCCUCGGACCGGACUAGAGAUAGUCCUUUCCCUUCGGGGACUGAGGUGACAGGUGGUGCAUGGUUGUCGUCAGCUCGUGUCGUGAGAUGUUGGGUUAAGUCCCGCAACGAGCGCAACCCUUGCCUUUAGUUGCAAACAGUUUGGCUGUGCACUCUAAAGGGACUGCCGAUGAGAAAUCGGAGGAAGGUGGGGAUGACGUCAAAUCAUCAUGCCCUUUAUGUCCUGGGCUACACACGUGCUACAAUGGUCGAUACAACGGG